CCCAGUUAUUAUUUAUUUAUUUUAUAUAUAUACAAUUAAAGAUAACAAAUAUGCAUCAUUUAUAUUAUGGUGUUUGGUUGAUGCUUCAAAAUGAAGGUAACGUCUCCCUAGAUUACAGUUAGUACAACUUUUAAAACAACUAAAAAGUAACGUUCUAGAAAAUACAGGCUAAAUAUGAGAACUAUAACAUCAGAAUCUGCUGUUUGUUUUUCUUUUGAAUAUAUCUCCUAGAAUUAGAAAAUGUAUAUUUACCCUCUUAUGAGCCUAUGGAAUAAAGAUUCCCAUUUCCAGGAUAGAUAGCACAGAAAGGCAGCAGGAACUGAGAGCGGUUUGGGAACAUGAUCUCAGAGCUACCAUACAGCAGACAGUUUUUAAUAUUGAAACAAAGUACAGACAGUUAGUUGCAAACCAGCAGUAUAAAACCAGCUAAACAGUGGGUAUAUGGGUGCACUGCGCUACCCGGCGCAUAACUGUGUGGCAAAGGGUAAAAGGUGAUUUGCGCUACGAAAUUAAAAAGGCCUGUUGAAAUAUUAAGCUGCUCUGUGAAGGGUAAUAUCCUAAAUGUGGAGAGUUUAUGCAUACCGAAGCCCAGCUACAGGAAUUGCCACAGGAACUGGGCAGCAUCGGCUCAAUUCAGCCCACAGAGUUUGGUCUGGAGAGAAGUGAUGCUGACUUCACCUGCAGCGGUGGCUCCAAACAACGUGCAGAUUGUCUGAUGAGGGUUUGGAUUUCUCACGCCGCUUUGCAUAUCAGAGCUGCUUAGAACUGCGUUUAGAACUUUAAAUGGGGAGAUUGAUUUUCUGAUGAAGUCUGGGGGGACAUUUCUCAACCGAGUUAAAUGAAAAGGAAAUAAAUUUGGAGAAAAUGAAUUUGUGAAGGAGGCUUGUUUGCCUUUAUCCCUCCCCCCCCCCCAUUCGCUUUAUAAUUUUCCUUGUUUCCUGUGGUCCUUAUGAACCACCACCCAAGUGCAUGCCCAGCAGCUCGAUGCCAUCUACUGCAGCCAGGGGUGGGCACAGGGCAGUGCCCAGUGCACUGCUGAAACAUGAGGCACUGACUGCAAAUGCCUGGUGCUCCUCGUCUCAUUCUCUCGGUGCUGGAAGUGUCUAUGGAUGAAGCCCUUUCUAGCAGCUCCCAUAACAACAACCACUGUCUGGGUGAGGAGAUUAAAGCGGGAGAAAAGGAGGAAUAAAAACAGCAAACCUGGGAAUAUAUGCCAUUAAGCAUUCUAUUGUACUUGCCCCAAAAUGAUAUUCUUGGGAAUUUACUCAACAUUUUAUUACUCACUGUAUUUAAAAAUAUAUACUUCAUCCAACUCUUCUUUACACAGUGGUGCUGCUAAACAUUUAGCAUAUUUUAUGUGUUCAAAUAAACUGGAGAGCGUGGCUUGCAAUGCUAAAGAAAAGGUAGCAAUUUACUGGCAGAACUCGAUUUCACACUUGUAACUUUUACACAGAGCCUGACAUUGUUCUCUUUACUAAUUGUAAGCCUAAUAACUUGUCCAAAGAACACAGAAAUCUGUUUUCAUGUCUGUGCUAAGAAUGAAAGCAAGUGGCUAAGAAUGUCACAAGUGGCCAUAGUCAGUGAGGGCCCAGGGUGGAAAGGUACAACAUAAUAUAAGAAUUUUCAGGAUCUAAUUAAAAAUGGCUAAGAAGCAUGCAAAUGCCCACUGUGCAGGCCAGUGCUGGCUAGAGGGGAAGGAAAGGGGUGAGAGUGUUUACCAUGAGGUAACCCAAGAGAUUGGGUGGGGAUAUGCUUCACCCUGCCCAUGCCAUCUCUAUGGCCCUUUUGAUGGGAGAUGCCUUCAGUGGGAGCCCCCAGGAUGUCCCUCAGGCUCCAGGUCCAGAAGCUCUGGCCUCUUCAGCAAGAAUUUUCAGUGGGGCUUUCAUCCUCCAAUAGAAAAUUUGAGGUCAGAAAGGUGUUGUUAUUGUUUCCUUUAAAAGUCAUCAUUGAUGAGUGCACAUUUCAAUGUCCUUUAAAAAAAAAAAAAAAAAGUAGGGUGAGAAGUCAUCUGCCUCCCAUAGUCAUUUACCUGAUACAGGUUUGGCUGAGUGCUCUUCCAAAUGGGUUUAUUAGCCACUUCACAGUUUGUUCCAGAACAAUGACAAAAUGCUGCUUUUGGGGCUGGUCACUGCUUUGACUAUGUUCAUUCUGCCCAAGGCUGGGAAAGAGGGACCCUGUGGUCACCCUUCCAGGCCAGACCCGGCGUCCCACCAGGCACACUCAUAUCUACCGCAGACUUAGCCCACAGCCCAAACCAUCUGAGCCAAGCCAGAAUAGUUAAACUUGUCGCCAUCUCAGAAUUAGAAAAGUGAAUUUAAUCUUGGGCUGUCAGUUCAAUUUUUCCCAGCAGUUUCACUGAACAAUCUUAUUUUCCCAUAAGAAAAAUACUUGGGCUUCUAAUGAAGUUUGCUAAGGAGUUAUUUUGUUUGCUUUUGCGAGACCAAACAAACCAAACUAUGUGGGCUUCUCUUUAGUUGUGAAACUUCUUCCUCUGAUGCAUUUUCUAGCUCCACACAAGUAGGGUCACCUAGAGUGAAAUUCUAGGAUUUGCGGGCCUUGUCCUUCAGAUGCUGUGAGAUCUCCACAGAUGUUGUAAGCUAACCACUUCAGCUAAAUGAUAUUAUCGCUGUUGUAAAUUAGGAUGCGUCUAACAGAAAACCCACCAAGAGAAUCUUUGCAUGGACUUCAUUUAGUGCUGGCUCCACACCAGCAAGGGUACACACAUCGGGUUCACUUAUCAACCCAAAAGGAAGAGAGAGGCCAAGAGGAAAAAUUCUUAAGUUAGACUUCGUCAUACAGCUCAUCUUAGAGCUGGGGACUGUGGUUAGACACAGAACAACCACACCACUGCAAAAGGUUGAGAAAACAAAGCCAUAAACCACACGCAUGACUUUUCCCCCCUUGUAUAGGCUGGUUGAAGUCAGGGCUGCUCUGGCAGCAGAGUUGACUUUUCUGGUGAAAGGAUCUACGCUGCCAGCAUGAAUGCAUACUGAGCCAUAGUAGUAGGCAGAAACUUCUACAGCUGCCUGAAGGACUGAAGGAAAUGAAGAUCCCUGUCCUGUGAAACUUUCUGCAGGUGCUUUUGAAGAGCAGCAUAACAACAGCCUGAUUUUACAUGGACAACUCAUAUUAGCAAGACUUCAGGGCUAGCUGUGAGUUUGCCCUGCCUAGGUGUCCUGCCUGGUGGCAACACCACCCACCGAACUGCAUUUUGGACCCCCUGGCAUCAGCUAACUGUAGAAACCUUCGUUCUUAGCACAUCUGUCACUAUUUUAACAUCUUAAAAAAUAAUUCUGUAGUUUGUAACCGAGCGACGCUAUAAAAUCACAUUUCCUUUCAUCGCAUGCCACUAAGUCACUCAAGGGCUGACUUUAAUUAAGCACAAGGUCAGAAAUGCAAUUAUAUACGACGGUAGGUGCAAGACAGAGAGCAGAGACACGGGAGCUCCUCGCAUGCCUCGGUGCUGGAGGUGAGCAGCGGGUUGCUGCAGGCAGG
ensembl:lncRNA